GAAACGGGAAGCCGCACCGGGCAACCGGGUCAGACAGGCGCCCCUGCCCCGUAAGGGGCGGGUGCU
rfam:Kyrpidia tusciae DSM 2912, complete genome.